UACGGAGGGGGCUAGCGUUGUCCGAAGUUACUGGGCGUAAAGCGCGCGUAGGCGGGUUGGUAAGUCCGCUGUGAAAGCCCGGAGCUCAACUCCGGAGGGUCGGUGGAUACUGCCAGUCUUGAAGGUGCUAGGGGGAAAUGGAAUUACCGGUGUAGCGGUGAAAUGCGUAGAUAUCGGUAGGAACACCAGUGGCGAAGGCGGUUUCCUGGGGCAUUCUUGACGCUGAGGCGCGAAAGCGUGGGGAGCGAACAGG
rnacentral:rRNA from 1 species